rnacentral:lncRNA from 1 species
GCCGCCCUGCCUAAUUUACACCGUGCUGUGAAUGAUAGACAGGGAGGCAGGCAUUUCGGCAGACAGCCUCUACUGCUGUGUGUCUGCGUGUCCUCAAAGCCGACCGUACGACCAGGCCCACUGACUGACCCUCGGCCUGAGACAGUCCGGGGAGGAUAGGAAGGAAAACAGCCCCAACAAAGACUCUCACAUGGCUGGAGAGAAAAAGAGAGGGAGCUAAUGGAGGAAAAAACACAGCCUCCCAAUCCAUCUGCUGAGUAAGCAGAACCCAAUCCGCUGACUCAUCAGUCCACUGCCAGAACCAGGCAGCCAGACGCACCACAACACGCCCCCACAGCCACAGCUCUCCUCACUUAUCACCCCAACUACAAGGACCUGAGCCCUAGGACCAUGCCUCAGGACUACCUGGCAUGAUGACUCCUUGCUGUCCCCAGUCCACCUGGCCGUGCUGCUGCUCCAGUUUCAACUGUUCUGCCUGCGGCUAUGGAACCCUGACCUGUUCACCGGACGUGCUUGUUGCACCCUCGACAACUACUAUGAUUAUUAUUAUUUGACCAUGCUGGUCAUUUAUGAACAUUUUAACAUCUUGACCAUGUUCUGUUAUAAUAUCCACCCGGCACAGCCAGAAGAGGACUGGCCACCCCUCAUAGCCUGGUUCCUCUCUAGGUUUCUUCCUAGGUUUUUGGCCUUUCUAGGGAGUUUUUCCUAGGGAGUUUUUCCUAGCCACCGUGCUUCUUUCACAUGCAUUGCUUGCUGUUUGGGGUUUUAGGCUGGGUUUCUGUACAGCACUUUUAGA